rnacentral:rRNA from 1 species
GAAGGUCGGUAGUACAGGUGGUGCAUGGUUGUCGUCAGCUCGUGUCGUGAGAUGUUGGGUUAAGUCCCGUAACGAGCGCAACCCUUGUCCUUAGUUACCAGCACGUUAUGGUGGGCACUCUAAGGAGACUGCCGGUGACAAACCGGAGGAAGGUGGGGAUGACGUCAAGUCAUCAUGGCCCUUACGGCCUGGGCUACACACGUGCUACAAUGGUCGGUACAAAGGGUUGCCAAGCCGCGAGGUGGAGCUAAUCCCAUAAAACCGAUCGUAGUCCGGAUCGCAGUCUGCAACUCGACUGCGUGAAGUCGGAAUCGCUAGUAAUCGUGAAUCAGAAUGUCACGGUGAAUACGUUCCCGGGCCUU